rnacentral:lncRNA from 1 species
CCCAGCCACAUCUCCAGCACACAAGAACUUCCAAACGCCUGAACCACAGCAGCCAGGCAUUCCUCCAGAACCUCCUCCCCCAGGAGCUUGCUACAAGUGCCAGAAAUCUGACCACCAGGCCAAGGAAUGCCUGCAGCCCAGGAUUCCUCCUAAGCUGUGUCCCAUCUGUGCAGGACCCCACUGGAAAUCAGACUGUUCGACUCACCUGGCAGCCACUCCCAGAGCCCCUGGAACUCUGGCCCAAGGCUCUCUGACUGACUCCUCGGCUUAGCAGCUGAAGACUGAUGCUGCCUGAUCACCUCAAAAGCCCUGUAGACCACCACAGACGCCGAGCUUCGAGUAACUCUCACAGUGGAAGUGCUGUGCUGCCUUCUGAAUUCUCCUACAAAAAGCAGUGGCCAGGUCGUAUGGUCCUUACAUUCCAGGAAAUUGUAAAGCUCUUCAAACUCUUCAAAUUAUAAAACUCUUCUCUUGAAGACAACCCCUUUUCUUGGCAAAGAGGGCUCCAUUGAUCUUGUGGUCUGCACUCAUACACAUGGCUUGAAAUUCCUUCAGCUCUGUUGUCUGUAAAUACAAGCCAAGAUCGCUCCCUCUCCCUGUGGUUAGGAAGGACAGUGACAAUGACUGCACAGGCUUUGCAGGGUACCAGAAGCCAGAGAGAAAACUGAAGCCACCUAUUGAAAAGCCCUGACACCCCAUAGGAUUCCACUGGCCUACAAGGGUAAAUGACACAUCUGAAGGGCUCAGUAACCCUUAGGAAAGUAGUUUGAAUACCCAUUGUAAUCUGAGCAUGUAUCAGCAUGUUUUCUUGAGGUUUGCCUCAAUUGGUACUUCCAGUGCUGAUAAUGAGUUUCCUAAGUCAAAGGGUUAACGUCUAGCACAGCAGGGGACCCCCAAACAAACUCUGCUACAGCAUUAAAGACUGCAUUUGUUAGUUCCUAUGCAGCUAUGGCUACAAAAAAUUUGGAAUAUCACCCUUGGAUAAAUCUAAAAUUACCCAUAAUGGCAAUUCCAGAAAUUUGGAAAAGAACAUACAUGUGGAUUGUAGGUUUCCUUAAUGAAUGACACAAGUUUGAUACAUGCAUUAUUAUCUAAAGAUUGUCUUCCAACUAUGUAUUAUAUUUUGUAUUUUGUUGUUGCUUACAACCAUUAGAGAUAGAUGAUCUGUGGAAAAACUAAGGGCUGGAAGCUGGUGGUGAAUAGUUUACUACUAAACAUUUAAAUCUACUUGUCUUUGCUCCUGUUACUCUUCAUAAAGGGGUGUGAUUUAAUCUACUGAGGAUUACUGUAUUCUAGGACACAAUAAUAUAUCACUCUUCAACCCUCAAGGAGCUUAUAUUUCAGUGAGAGGAAACCCAUAUUACCCAACUGAUGUUGAUGCAAGGCAGAAGCUAAAUAUAACAGCAGAAGCAAAAACGCACAGCCAUGAGGGCACUGAGGAUGAAAAAAGGGAUAAAAUUGAAGGCAAAGAAACAAGUCCAGUAUCAGAGCAGAGUGGUGCCUGAUACCUAAACUCUGUAGGUUUGUGAUACUAGAAUGAAGCUAUGGGGGCUAAAAGCACUGAAUAGGCAAAAUCAAAAGGAUGAUGUGUUUUGUUGCAUACAGGUGGGGCAGCGACGAGAUGUAGCCAAGGUUAGCAAGGAGUUCUGCAGCCUGCUUAACUGCAGCAGACACAAAGUUCAUCCACUACGUGUAUCUAACCUUUGUAAAGAUGUACAUGCAGGGAUUAUUUAUUUAGUUUAGGUUUGGGACAUUAUCCUUGUGAGAAUCCAGAUGCUUUGGUACAUUUUAUCUUCAGAAUUUAACAGAAAAGUCUAUCCUUGCCUAGGGUGGCAUUUGUUGCUAUAAAUCAUGACAUGCUGGGUUUUAGCUGUGGCUCUAAGCUGAAAUACGUCUCCUUUUAACUUCUACCAAGUGGUCCCAGUUCUGCCCUCAGGAACUAACACAGAUUAAGUUGAAUCCCUCUUGUGUGGCAGCCCUUGAACUGUCAUUAUAAGGGCUCCCUUGAGUUCUUCAGCACCCCCUCAAUUCCUUUAGCUAUUCAUGUUGAUGUGGAGUCUGCUCCCUUGCACUGUCCUGGUCAUUUUCCUCUGCCCAGGCUCUAACUCCUCAGAUCUCUCACAACAUAGAAAACCCACCCACAACACAAGGUUCCUGAGUGCUAUGACUGAUAGAAAGCAGACAGGAACUACUGCUUCCCUCACUCCGUGCACUCCGUGUUUAUGAAGACACCUUCAAAUUGCUAGCCACAUUUUUAAGCAGACUUUCAAACUAUUGGUGCUUCCUGAGUUUAUAAUGUACCCACAUUUGGAGACAUUUAUCAAAUGGACUUUGCAAAUCCAUGUGUCUCCAUGCAGACUUCUUUAACUUCAGAAUCAACUUAACAUAGUUAUUGGAGCAGCUGCAAAGGUAUCUAUUACAUUCAUGGAGAAAGGAGCAAUUAUUAUGGCAUUAUACAAAGAGCCAACAUUGAUUGAGCUCUAGUUACGUGCUAGACAAUGUGUUGUUAAUCUUUUUAAGACAUUGUACCCUGUAAAAAAUUAAACUAUUAAUUUUAUUAUAAAAGUAAUAUGAACAAAUAGCAAUGCAUCAAAUAGCCUAAAAGGACAUAAUAUGAAAAUAUGUUUUACCUUCCUAUCCCACAGAAACUGCAGAUUUCUGUGUUUCCUAUAUCUUACCAAAAUUUCUGUGCAUAUAUAUUGUAUAUCUUGUUUAUAUAUUAUAUGUAUAGUACUCUGGUCUUAAAUGUUUUAAUUUAACUAAUUCUUGGUAAUCAUUUUGUACAUCACACAUAGAGCCAUCUUAACCUGAUGAGUAUCUGUCUGCAUGUCAUUGUGUGGACGUACCACAACUUGCAUCUCAUAUAAUUUAAGAAAAGUUCCACAGAUUGGAUCUUACUGUCUUCAUUAAACAUGUAGAAAACUGAGGUUUUAAAAAAUUAUUACCUUGCCUGCUGCCACUCAUUUGAAAAUAACUCAGUAAGGUUUAAAAUGCAUAUCAUUCUACAUAUAUGUGCUAUUAAUCACCUCUCUAGAAAAAUAAUUUUCACUGGUGAAUUUCAUAGCACUUCACAAGCAGAUUUUUCUAAGUACAUAACAGGUCUUCCUCUAUAUUUUAAAAUUGGAAAAAUGAGAUUUAGAAAAUGGUUUGAGCAUUUGACAAUUGCCAG